AUAAUGGGUCAGCGACUUAUAUUCUGUAGCAAGGUUAACCGAAUAGGGGAGCCGAAGGGAAACCGAGUCUUAACUGGGCGUUAAGUUGCAGGGUAUAGACCCGAAACCCGGUGAUCUAGCCAUGGGCAGGUUGAAGGUUGGGUAACACUAACUGGAGGACCGAACCGACUAAUGUUGAAAAAUUAGCGGAUGACUUGUGGCUGGGGGUGAAAGGCCAAUCAAACCGGGAGAUAGCUGGUUCUCCCCGAAAGCUAUUUAGGU
rnacentral:rRNA from 1 species